CUGCGGCCAUAUCAUGUUGAAAUACCGGUUCUCAUACGAUCACCUAAGUUAAGCAACGUCGAGCCUGUUAAGUACCUAGAUGGGUGAUCGCUUGGGAAUACCAGGUGCUGUAAG
rnacentral:rRNA from 1 species